AUUGAACGCUGGCGGCAUGCUUUACACAUGCCAGUCGAACGGUAACAGGCCUUCGGGUGCUGACGAGUGGCGGACGGGUGAGUAAUGCAUCGGAACGUGCCCAGAGGUGGGGGAUAACGCAGCGAAAGCUGUGCUAAUACCGCAUGUGAUCUGAGGAUGAAAGCGGGGGACCAGGCAGCAAUGUUUGGCCUCGCGCCUUUGGAGCGGCCGAUGUCAGAUUAGGUAGUUGGUGGGGUAAAGGCCUACCAAGCCGACGAUCUGUAGCUGGUCUGAGAGGACGACCAGCCACACUGGGACUGAGACACGGCCCAGACUCCUACGGGAGGCAGCAGUGGGGAAUUUUGGACAAUGGGCGCAAGCCUGAUCCAGCAAUGCCGCGUGCGGGAAGAAGGCCUUCGGGUUGUAAACCGCUUUUGUACGGAACGAAAAGGCUCUGGCUAAUACCUGGGGCUGAUGACGGUACCGUAAGAAUAAGCACCGGCUAACUACGUG
rnacentral:rRNA from 1 species